CUGGAAACCAGGCAUCUAUGGAUAGCUUACCCCGGCCCUUUCCUCUCCCCAGUACCCUGCCUCCUCCAGCUAGGAAGUAGCUAUUUGGGGCAGGGAAAUGAGAUGGCAGGACUGUCCCUCUGAGAUCAACUCAGCGCUCUGUGGCUCCCUGGAUAAUGGUUCUGUGUGUCCAGCCCAUCCUCCGGUGAGUUUCAGGCAGAAGGAGGGAAGGGGGGAGAGGAUGGGUCGUGGUGGUUAGUUAUCCUGGUAUGAGGCCGGACUGGCCCAGUGGGGGACAGACACCGACAGGAGACCAAGUCCACAGAGGGAGUCACUCCUGGACGUGGUGAGCUCCCCGUCAGAGAAGGUAUGCAAGCAGAGACGGAUGUGAGUGUGGGGAUGGAAGUGGACUGUUACUGUUUUCAAAUGAGUCUCCUCACAGCUCUGAUUCCUCUCCCUGCCCACCACCCACCAGGCCUGGGAGCUGCCCUGCUCACAGCCAAGCUCCAGGAAGGAACCAGAGAUGAAGGGAGUCCUCUGGACACUGUGGAGCCUGGAGCCAGCGGCCACAAGACCAGUCCUCAAAAACAGCCCUUCCUCCACCACCCAAGGGAAGAAGCUAACAGAAAUGAGAAGGGGCGGACAGACUACAGUUUGUGCCAAAUGCUCUGCAGCUAGCUGGCCCCACCCGGAAUAGGUCUCCAGUCCCAGCUGCCCUCAGAGUCUGUGCUUCCUGUUUUCACGGCCAGUUUCUGCACGGACGUUACCAACCAACAUUUAAAAACGGCUCCUCAGAUGGUCUAAAACACGC
ensembl:lncRNA